UACGGAGGGAGCUAGCGUUGUUCGGAAUUACUGGGCGUAAAGCGCGCGUAGGCGGACCUGCAAGUCGGGGGGUGAAAGCCCGAGGCUCAACCUCGGAACUGCCUUCGAUACUGCGGGUCUCGAGUCCGGGAGAGGUGAGUGGAAUUCCUAGUGUAGAGGUGAAAUUCGUAGAUAUUAGGAAGAACACCAGUGGCGAAGGCGGCUCACUGGCCCGGUACUGACGCUGAGGCGCGAAAGCGUGGGGAGCAAACAGG
rnacentral:rRNA from 1 species